rnacentral:rRNA from 1 species
GGAAUUUUCCGCAAUGGGCGAAAGCCUGAUCCAGCAAUGCCGCGUGAGUGAAGAAGGCCUUCGGGUUGUAAAGCUCUUUUGUCAGGGAAGAAACGGUGUUUUCUAAUACAGAGCGCUAAUGACGGUACCUGAAGAAUAAGCACCGGCUAACUACGUGCCAGCAGCCGCGGUAAUACGGAGGGUCCGAGCGUUAAUCGGAAUUACUGGGCGUAAAGCGUGCGCAGGCGGUUUGUUAAGCGAGAUGUGAAAGCCCUGGGCUCAACCUAGGAAUAGCAUUUCGAACUGGCGAACUAGAGUCUUGUAGAGGGGGGUAGAAUUCCAGGUGUAGCGGUGAAAUGCGUAGAUAUGUGGAGGAACACCGAUGGCGAAGGCAGCCCCCUGGGUCAAGAUUGACGCUCAUGCACGAAAGCGUGGAGAGCAAACAGGAUUAGAUACCCUAG